rnacentral:tRNA from 1 species
GGGGAUAUGGCUCAGUGGUAGAGCACUUGCCUAGCAUGCAUGAAGCACCUGGGUUCGAUCCCCAGCACCACUU